GAACACAAGGGGAAGGGGACGAUGGGGCAGGCUGGAGUCACCUGGACUUGGACUCUGCAGGUCUGAACAGACUGCUAUGGUCCACACAGCCAGUAACUGAGAGGAUUGGAAGAUGGAUAUGUUUUCUCUUCUAGACAAAGAGUCUCAGGCCAAGCUUGGGGCCUGUGUGAGGGACAAGUGAACUCUGGGUAGGUUCUAGCUGCCCUGGGGCAGUCUGUUGCUAUUUCGGUUGAAUUGGAGAUAGCUCUUCAAUCUGCCUGUGGCCUGUGAGGUAUGGAACUUGAAGGCUGGGAGGAAGAAGAAGGAAGAGAAGGAGAAGAGAAAGAGGCAAAGGAGGGCAGGAUAGGAGCUCUUCAUUUCGUGUCCUGGCUUUGACUGUGAUUUUUGAGGUGGCUCUACCUCAGAGAAAUACAAAAAUGCCUGGCAUCCUGCUGACUUCUCAGCUCAGUCUGAGACUGCUGCUAUGUCUCUCAACAACUGCAGCUGUGUCUUAGUACAUAAAUGAUCAGGCUUCCUGACAGCCCAUCUCAUCCUACAAAAACACACCAGUGCCCACUUAUCUCUACUCCCACUAGCACAUCACCAAAUUCUACAGAUUUCUGGGGCGUUCUGGGCCAGACUUCAUGACGGCUGUACACACUGACUUCUGCUCUCCACCUACCUCUCCUCAUCUGUACAUCUCGGGUAGAUGGCUUACUGCAUGCAUCCCUGAUGAACAGCAAGAAACCUGUGGGCUAGCCAGGAAUCCCUAGAUUGGCAGCUGCGUGGCAUGGGCUGGCUAAAUGUAGCUGCUUUUUUUUUUUAUUCGUAGCUGCUUUUUAAGAUGAUAUCACACAGCAGGAGAUUUGCUAUACCACUUGUCCCCCUAGCCCCCACCCCAUAGAAAGGUUGCCAGUGGCAAGGAGCAGGUAUUUCUUUUGGAUCCCUUCUGGUGCCUGGGAAAAAGCUAGUGACUGUAUCAUUGCUGCUAGGCAGCUACCCAUCAGCACAGUCUUCUUCAGUCAAGAUGUGGAAUUGCAGGGCCACUUAAAUGUGAAGAGAGUUCAAUUUCACCAGCCACUUGUUCUCUGGGUCUUCACAAAACCAUUACUUCAUCCCUGCUUUUAUCAAGUAGCCAAAAGAUGUUUAUGGAAUACUUGCCCUGAGUGUACACUAUUGUGCUAGGGACAGAAAUUUCUCUAAGUACCAUGAAGAUCCAGAAGGAAUCAAUAUUUUUUCUCUCCCUCCCAACCCACUCUGGAUGUCACACACUUCUCUCUCCUCAAUACCCACUCACUCAGAGUACCAGGAUCCUUGUGUUGCAACCCUUCAUAAAAGCAUCCACUAUCAGAGGCCCCUGAUUGAGACUCAAUAGCCAGCUUGAUUCUGGCCAAAGAGAGUGGAGGCAAGCCAAGACGGCACUUACUGCAUCUGUUUCUCCAAUUGUCACCUGCUCAGAGAAUCGGACCUUCACGGGAUUGGACCUCAGCUUGGCCUUCUUUGCAGCACUGAUGAAGGCAGAUUUAGGGGACUGGAAAAAGAACAAAGGGCUGGUGAGUUCUCCAUUCCUUUGUAAUAUUAGUUACGAUGUCUUUCUCAAUACAUCUGGAGCUGGUGGUUCACACCUGUAAUACCAAGAACUCAGGAGGCUAAGCCAAGAGAUCGUGAGUUUGAGACCAGCCUGGACUUCCACAGUGAGACACUAUCUCCAAAAAGAAAAUACCAGUACAGAGAUAUUUUGGCUUACUGAUCGAUGAGUCAAUAGACAAGUAUUGACUACCUUUUAAGCACAGGCACGGCGCUUAGUACAACAACAAAACCCAAAUCCAUCUGAAACCCUGUCUUCUCCUGGAAGCCUGCUCUCUACCAAUCUAUGCAAUUCCGUCUUUAGUGUAAAGGGAGCAGCGAGCAAAGAAAAAGAGAGUGGAGAUUUCUGGGCAAAUGGCUGGGGACUGUGGUGGGUACAGUGGUCAUGUUUCUCAGCCUGGCUGUGUUUGGAGAAAACUGAGGUCUCAGCUGCCCCCUCCCUAUAAAGCAACACCGCGUCAGCAUCCCCUGUGCACCUCCCCCACCGCCAAA
rnacentral:lncRNA from 1 species